rnacentral:rRNA from 1 species
AUUGAACGCUGGCGGCAGGCCUAACACAUGCAAGUCGAGCGGAUGAAGGGAGCUUGCUCCUGGAUUCAGCGGCGGACGGGUGAGUAAUGCCUAGGAAUCUGCCUGGUAGUGGGGGAUAACGUCCGGAAACGGGCGCUAAUACCGCAUACGUCCUGAGGUAGAAAGUGGGGGAUCUUCGGACCUCACGCUAUCAGAUGAGCCUAGGUCGGAUUAGCUAGUUGGUGGGGUAAAGGCCUACCAAGGCGACGAUCCGUAACUGGUCUGAGAGGAUGAUCAGUCACACUGGAACUGAGACACGGUCCAGACUCCUACGGGAGGCAGCAGUGGGGAAUAUUGGACAAUGGGCGAAAGCCUGAUCCAGCCAUGCCGCGUGUGUGAAGAAGGUCUUCGGAUUGUAAAGCACUUUAAGUUGGGAGGAAGGGCAGUAAGUUAAUCCCUUGCUGUUUUGACGUUACCAACAGAAUAAGCACCGGCUAACUUCGUG